CCGACACCUUCCUAUCUCAACCAGUCAAAGAACAACCUCCGCCGGCCUCCAUUGUGCUUCUCCUCCGCAGCACCACCUCCAUCGACUACUUGCUCCUCCUCCAUUAUUAAUGAAAUGGAAUUACUUAGGAGAAUCCAGUGGACAUAGGGUUCAACUUCGUGGAGGAGGAGAGCCUACAGGCGAAGAGCCACUGGGAGGCGGCGACAGACUUGACUACGCUUCUGAAGAAACUCUACAACGGAAACGUAGCCAUGCAGCAGAAGAACAACCCCCUCUUCGUCGUGGAGGAGUCUUACGGUGGCUGGUUUACGGUGACGACGGCCUUGUCAGUUCUCCACGCCAUCAGAGUUAGAAAACUGAAGCUCAAGCUUAGAGAUUUCUUACAUACGAUUGAGUAGGUGUUGCACUUGAGAAUAGCUGGAUGCCACCUGAGGACUACGUGCUCUGAUGGGGGCCUCUGCUCCGAGACAUGUCGAGGCUCGACGCAAACGAUGCAGAAAAAUCAAACAAUGUGGCUCGAGAGAUCAAAGAAGUGAUCAACAAUGAUAAGCUUGUCAAUGCCACAAACACCUGGCGAAUGCUCGAAUCAUGGUGGAUCAGAAUGCCCCAUGCUCAAGCAAACCUGCCCUGAGGGAAUAUUUGCACUGAUACCAUUGUCGCAUAGUGCAAAGUACUUCAGCAACAUGUCCUCUGAUCCAUCAACCUCCAAAUCUCUCCUAUUACUGUUCAUGGAGAAUGAACAUGUCUCGGAAGAUGAAAUAGGGGAGCAUAUAGCUCAGUCAUCUAAUCUUAGACUACUCACGAAACCAACUCACACGGUUCAUCACCAUUAGUGGAAGUUGGAUGAUGUCCAUUUUCUCGAGGAUGCAAUAGAAAGUAUAGUUGCAUGGUUAUUUAAGUUUAUAGUUUUAUAUGACUGAUAUAGAUUCUAAUUAUUUUAAAGUCAUAUACUCUUUUGUAAGAAAGAAAUUAUGUUACUAAGUGAAUUUUUUUUAUUACUA